AUUAACCUACAAAGUACAAAAUAAAACAGUAAUAUGUCCUAAAAUACUUUAAAGCAAGCAAAUUAUUAAGUCUAAGAAUACCUAAUUCAUGGGUAAAUUAACCACUCAUCAAAUAUCCCCAAACUUAAACACUUGCUUGUCCUCAAGCAAUGCAAACAACUAAAAUAAAAAUGAACGCAAUAAAUCACUACAUUAAACAAUAACUCAAGCAUAAUUCAACAUGAAAAACC
rnacentral:lncRNA from 1 species